UUGUCUUGUUGAAUCUGUCUUGUGGGUUCUAGGGAAUGGUAUCUCAUACCUGAAAGUUUAUAUGAAAUAUGUGUUGAAAGAAUGAGUGAAUGAAGACAUGGUCGCCUAUACUUUGAAGAUAGAGUCUCCAGAAAGGAACACCGUCUGGCCAACACCUUGAUCUUAGCCCAGUGAGACUCAUUUCUACCUUCUGACUUCCAGAAGUUUAAGG